rnacentral:piRNA from 1 species
UGAUCCAGGUGUGCUUCCACUGGGAGG